rnacentral:pre_miRNA from 1 species
AGUGGGAUAGCUGGGUCAAGUUUCCAAGUUUUCUGAGGAAUCUCCAUACUGCUUUCCAGAUUGGUUGCAUCAAUUUGCAGUCCCACCAGCAAU